CUACGACGCGAUUGGAGGAGCGCCGGAUUUGAAUCGCGGGAGGAGGAUACAACAAAGGCAACGACGGCUCCUUGCUCUGGGUGUGUUUUCCCCUCUCCAGCACUCAGCCAUUGCUUUGAAUGACGGAAGAGACCAAUGACGUCACUCCGGUGGGGGCGCGCGGAGCGAACCAAGUGGGCUCAAGAAAUAGGGGGAGCCGAAGCCCAAUGAGGCCGUGAACCCCGGAGGAAGCGGCGGCGCCAUGGAGCGGAGGAUGAAGCGGAGCCGAGAGCGGUUCGCCGCCGCCAUGAACGGCAUUAUGGAGAAGUACAAUUUCCCCUUCAACGAUGAUAUGAUUGUCUCUAUCAAAUCUUUGACUUAUAGUACACCUGAUGGACAAAAAAUUUGGGGAGAAGAGUCAAGCUCUGAAAUUAUAGAUCGUUCUUACC